AUACGGAGGGUGCAAGCGUUAUUCGGAAUCACUGGGCGUAAAGGACGCGUAGGCGGGUUGGCAAGUCAGAUGUGAAAUCCUACAGCUUAACUGUAGAACUGCAUUUGAAACUGCUAACCUAGAGUAUGGGAGGGGGAGAUGGAAUUAGUGGUGUAGGCGUAAAAUCCGUAGAUAUCACUAGGAAUACUGAAAGCGAAGGCGAUCUCCUGGAACAUAACUGACGCUAAGGCGUGAAAGCGUGGGGAGCAAACAGGAUUAGAAACCCUAGUAGUCC
rnacentral:rRNA from 1 species